GCAUUUGUAGCUCAGUGUGAGAGCGCCGGUCUUGUAAACCGGAUGUCGGAGGUUAAAUUCCCCCCUUUUGCU
rnacentral:tRNA from 1 species